rnacentral:rRNA from 1 species
GGCGAACGGGUGAGUAACACGUGGGUGAUCUGCCCUGCACUUCGGGAUAAGCCUGGGAAACUGGGUCUAAUACCGGAUAGGACGAUGGUUUGGAUGCCAUUGUGGAAAGUCUUUUCGGUGUGGGAUGAGCUCGCGGCCUAUCAGCUUGUUGGUGGGGUAAUGGCCUACCAAGGCGUCGACGGGUAGCCGGCCUGAGAGGGUGUACGGCCACAUUGGGACUGAGAUACGGCCCAG